rnacentral:rRNA from 1 species
AUUGAACGCUGCGGCAGGCUUAACACAUGCAAGUCGAGCGAGCGGCGGACGGGUGAGUAAUGCUUAGGAAUCUGCCUAUUCGUGGGGGACAACAUCUCGUAAGGGAUGCUAAUACUGCAUACUAAUAGAUGAGCCUAAGUCGGAUUGGCUAGUUGGUUGGGUAAAGGCACACCAAGGCGACGAUCUGUAGCGGGUCUGAGAAGAAGAACCGCCACACUGGGACUUGGACACGGCGCAGGACCCUACCGGGAGGAGCAGGUGGGAAUAUUGGACAAUUGGGGGAAACCUGAUCCAGACAUGCCGCGUGUGUGAAGGAGGCCUUAUGGUUGGAAAGAAAUUUAAACCAGGAGGCGUUACUCGCAGAAUAAGCACCGGCUAACUCUGUGCCAGCAGCCGCGGUAAUAC